UCCGGUUCUUCACCAGCAGUCUCCUUAGAGUCCCCACCAUUACGUGUUGGCAACUAAGGAUAAGGGUUGCGCUCGUUACGGGACUUAACCCAACAUCUCACAACACGAGCUGACGACAGCCAUGCAGCACCUGUCUUACGGUUCCUUUCGGCACUUCUACAUCUCUGUAAAAUUCCGUAGAUGUCAAGGGUAGGUAAGGUUCUUCGCGUUGCAUCGAAUUAAACCACAUGCUCCACCGCUUGUGCGGGCCCCCGUCAAUUCCUUUGAGUUUUAACCUUGCGGCCGUACUCCCCAGGCGGAGAACUUAUCGCGUUAGCUUCGAUACUAAUAGGUCAUGCCUACCAACAUCUAGUUCUCAUCGUUUACAGCGUGGACUAC
rnacentral:misc_RNA from 1 species